GAUGAACGCUGGCGGCGUGCCUAAUACAUGCAAGUCGAACGCACAGCGAAAGGUGCUUGCACCUUUCAAGUGAGUGGCGAACGGGUGAGUAACACGUGGAUAACCUACCUCAAGUUGGGGAUAACAUUUGGAGACAGAUGCUAAUACCGAAUAAAACUUAGUAUCGCAUGAUACCAGGUUAAAAGGCGCUACGGCGUCACCUAGAGAUGGAUCCGCGGUGCAUUAGUUAGUUGUGGGUAAAGGCUUACCAAGACAAUGAUGCAUAGCCGAGUUGAGAGACUGAUCGGCCACAUUGGACUGAGAC
rnacentral:rRNA from 1 species